CUGGCUCAGGAUGAACGCUGGCGGCGUGCCUAACACAUGCAAGUCGAACGGAGAAUUUACGCUGACGAGACUUCGGUCAAAUCUUGUAAAUUCUUAGUGGCGGACGGGUGAGUAACGCGUGGGCAACCUGCCUCAUACUGGGGGAUAGCAGUUGGAAACGACUGAUAAUACCGCAUAAGCGCACAGCAUCGCAUGAUGCAGUGUGAAA
rnacentral:rRNA from 1 species